GUCUCGGUGGUAUCUGUGCAGCGUCUCCGUGGAUGCUCGAGUGGUCUCUGGAACUACUUUAUGAGCUAUGUGGCCAUCUAUGGAGACAGUGUUCAAUCGCUCUCGAGUCGAUUUGGUGUUAGUAUGGAGAAUCUCGAAUCUUGAUAAUAUCUCAACCGGAGAUGUUAAUUACAGUCCGCUUGAUUCCGUACCUGGAGAGCCUUAUGAGACGAAGAAGAUAAACCCUCCUGCACCUUCUCCUACGCCUACAAUAUCUCAGUUUUGGAAAAGCUGAUCAGGUGAAUCACACUGCCAAGAGUUGUCAUGUGCCUUAUAUAUGGAUUGUUGGUGGUCUUGGAGUCGUGCUUGUGUUUCUUGUGAUGUGCAUACUUGUAUGUAUCUGUCUGAGAUCAUCUUGAAGGCAGUACCCCACUGUCUUGGAUAAUGAAGAAUCAGAUUGCACUUGACGCAUCAAGGUGGUUAGAAUAUAUUCA